UUGGGGUCCCUGGUUCCAAACGGCACCAUUAUGUGCCCUUAUUUAAACUAUUUUUAAAAAAAAAAAUCAUUUCUGCUACUUCUUUAAAGAAAAAAAAAAUAGAACCCUCCCCUAUUCUCUGCUAGGGUUUCGAGCCGAACCUUAAGGCCCAUCGUCAACACACCGCGUCUCUGCCAUGGCUUCCACCGUGGACGGUGGUCGGAGCCGCUUGAAAUCGGGUUUUUAACCUUUUUUUAAAAGCAGAUUCGACGGUGAGGCCUUCAUAUACCGAAAAAAAUCAAAAGAAAAGGAACCCCCAUCCUCUCUUUGGGCCGAUUCCGACGGCGGAGAAGAGGUCUCUGACGACAGGGCUACGGGGAUUCGGGUAAGUUUUCCUUUUUCUCUCUUUACUUUAUCUUUUUAUUAAAAUAGAUUUAUAAAUAAAAUUAAAAAGGAAAUUGAAUAGAAAACGAGAAAUCAAAAUCAAAAUCAACCUUUUCUUUUAACUUCUGUUUUGCUUUUGAUUUUUUAAUGUGCGUAAAAAAUUACAAAGGGAUUUAUUUCGGCUUUUAUAGCCGAGUUACACAGAUCUGUUUUUGUCUUUUGCUUGUUGUCUGCUAUUGUUUGCGUGUGGAUUUUUCUUUGCAGGUGUCAGACGCGCAUAGAGGCCGGCGAUGGCGUGCGGCAGCGGUGGCAGAGUGACGUGUGGCACUGGUCAAAGGGGCUAGGGUUUAUUUUGCUGAAAUGUUUUGGAUUAAUUGAGCUCUUAGGAUUUAGGUUAUUGGGUUUUAAAUUUUGAGCUGGUUUAGUUUUGGUUUGAGUUCAAUAUGUAAAUGGACAUUUAUUUUGGACUGUUUAAUUUUUUUAUUUGUUUGGGUUUUAUUUUAUCAACUAGGUCAGACAAAAAUUGGCCUACUACAUAUAUAAUUAAUUGGGAUAGUAUAUUAUUUUAAAUAUUUAUAUAUAUUUUUUAUAUUAUAUAUGUAAAAAAAACUUUCAUUGGGUCAUCCUUCGUAAAAGACGAUUUAAAUAAAUAUUAAAAUCAUAACCCCAAAUUGUUAAUUUUCUUUACCAAAAAUUUGGUGCCCCU
rnacentral:lncRNA from 1 species